AGCGAACGCUGGCGGCAGGCCUAACACAUGCAAGUCGAACGAAGUCUUCGGACUUAGUGGCGGACGGGUGAGUAACACGUGGGAACGUGCCGUUAGGUUCGGAAUAACUCAGGGAAACUUGUGCUAAUACCGAAUGUGCCCUUCGGGGGAAAGAUUUAUCGCCUUUAGAGCGGCCCGCGUCUGAUUAGCUAGUUGGUGAGGUAAUGGCUCACCAAGGCUACGAUCAGUAGCUGGUCUGAGAGGAUGACCAGCCACAUUGGGACUGAGACACGGCCCAAACUCCUACGGGAGGCAGCAGUGGGGAAUCUUGCGCAAUGGGCGAAAGCCUGACGCAGCCAUGUCGCGUGGAUGAUGAAGGUCUUAGGAUUGUAAAAUCCUUUCACCGGUGAAGAUAAUGACUGUAGCCGGAGAAGAAGCCCCGGCUAACUUCGUGCCAGCCGCCGCUGUAAGAC
rnacentral:rRNA from 1 species